GUCUGUCCCUUUUUGUCGGGUUCUGGGGUUCUUGGCUUUCUUUGUUUUGUUUUCCCCUUUCUCCCUCUGCUGCUACUCACCAUUCAUCCACUAGAUGGCGCCAAACCUUCCUCUUUUCAGAGAAGUGUGCCGUCAUCCUGCACACCAGAGUUUAAUCAUCUCAUCAACCCUGGAGUACAAGAGGAGCGGACUACCAGUACUUCGACGCUUGAGUGUUAGCCUACUAACGGUGUUUUCCUUGAGACGCCCUGAAUUCUCCUUUGUGAAAAUCUAGCCUGGUUUGUGGACCAAGCCUCCCUCGUGACGCCGUAGAACUUACCUACUGGUUGCCCGAGUUCCCACACUCACCUUCUCUGCUGAAUUACAAGUCUCUCCUGGAUUCCCCGACUGGCUGUCGCGCCGCUCCUCUGUCUCCGCUCCACCCGAACUUACCUGUCCGCCCUCCGCCGCACGUCCUCGUUGACUUCCGGAUUUUCUGUGGCCAAGCGCUGGAUCACCUGGACCGACAAAGAGACCAGGACCCCGAACUCCUCAGCAACCCACUCCAAACAGAUAUCUUCAUCCUCACAAUGUGCUAACUGCGCCGUAAGCCUACCCCCUCCCGACCAGACCGGUUCACCCUUAUCCCUCCUGUCUUUCAAUAAAUUAUCAUUUACUGAU